rnacentral:lncRNA from 1 species
GAAGUAGAGAGGAUCCUGCAGAGAGCAGACAUAUGGCUCUGUUUCUGGGCAGGAGAGCCAAAUGCUUCACUGGCGCCUCUCCCUAGUACCAUGCCCACAUUCUCCAAAACUUCAAUAACUUUGCCAGGCCAUGGUGGAUAUCUGGCCUUCUCUGGACCCCCUACAUGGAAGUGAGCAGCAAAGUACAAAUCAGCGGUUUCCCGAGCAUGCGGAUUGCAGUGGAGUUGGGAGUCCAGCAGGGCUGCCCACUUCCCCUGAUCCUGUUCAUUUGCACCACCCAGCCGCUGGCCCAGCGCCUGAAGCAAGACCCAAAGAUACACGGAGUCCACAUCCCAGGAAGCAGCAACCAAGAGGCCAAGGUCCUGGUCUUCAUGGAUGAUCUGAACAUCCUGUGCCGGAACAGGGGUUUGGUCGAGAGAGACCUGGUACACAUGCAAGUAUACGAGACAGCAGCAGGAACCAAGCUGAACGUAAGCAAGGACCAACUUCCCUGGAAAACGAUCUACACUCUGAAUCUACCACUCUGUGCCUGA